AUCUGACCAUCACCCCUGGUGAGAAAAAACCACGACUUGUCAGUGAAGAUCACUUUUUGCCAGUCCUGUCUGGUCCAGCGACAGUGGAUUUGUGCCCAUAGGCGACGUUGUUGCCGGUGAUGUCUGGUGAGGACCUGCCUUACAACAGGCCUACAAGCCCUCAGUCCAGCCUCUUUCAGCCUAUUGCAGACAGUCUGAGCACUGAUGGAGGGGUUGUGCGUUCCUGGUGUAACUCAGGCAGUUGUUGUUGCCAUCCUGUACCUGUCCCGCAGGUGUGAUGUUCGGAUGUACCGAUCCUGUGCAGGUGUUGUUACACGUGGUCUGCCACUGCGAGGACGAUCAGCUGUCCGUCCUGUCUCCCUGAAGCGCUGUCUUAGGCGUCUCACAGUACGGAUAUUGCUAUUUUAUGCCCUGGCCACAUCUGCAGUCCUCAUGCCUUCUUGCAGCAUGCCUAAGGUACGUUCAUGCAAAUGAGCAGGGACCCUGGGCAUUUUUCUUUUGGUGUUUUUCAGAGUCAGUAAAAAGGCCUAUUUAGUGUCCUAAGUUUCCAUAACUGUGACCUUAGUGUCCUAAGUUUCCAUAACUGUGACCUUAAUUGCCUACUGUAUGUAAGCUGUUAGUGUCUUAAUGACCGUUCCACAGGUGCAUGUUCAUUAAUUGUUUAUGGUUCAUUGAACAAGCAUGGGAAACAAUGUUUAAACCCUUUACAAUGAAGAUCUGUGAAGUUAUUUGGAUUUUUACGAAUUAUCUUUGAAAGACAGGGUCCUGAAAAAGGGACUUUCUUUUUUUGCUGAGUUUAUAUGGAUGAUAAACCUGGGCCUAGGGCUACUAUGUUUUUGCCAGGCAGAACUGGUUUUGUCUAGAAGUGAUACAGCCUUUGUCAAAAUUGACUUUUCGUUGCAGGUUUAGAAGAACUUAGGCUGCAGGUUAUGAGAAUUAACACACAACACGCAAGUUUCGUAGGUUUACCACUCCUUUUUGGGGGUCGAGAGUCCAAAAGUUUGCAAACCACUUUGAUACAUAAUAGUGGUAACAAAUGGAUUUGGUUGGAUAUAGUAAUGGUAGGCUACAGUAUUUCUCACAAUCUUCUAUUUUGAUUGGACCCUUACGAAAAAAGAUUGCAGUCAGACUGCAGUAUAAAUGCAGUAUGCUGCAAAUACUGAGUCCAAAAUAACACUGUUUUUUACUGCAGUAAUUUUGCCAUGUAACUGCAGUUAGAGUGCAGUAUAACUGCAUUUAAAUAAAAUGUAUUCUUUAUUUUACUAGGCAAGUCAGUUAAGAACAAAUUCUUAUUUACAAUGACGGCCUACCCCGGCCAAACCCUAACUCGGACGACGCUGGGCCAAUUGUGCGCCGCCCUAUGGGUGUCACCCCUGCUCCCGCUCUCCCUCUCUGGCGCUCGAGGGCGCCAGGCUGUCAUUUAUUACUCACAACUGUCACCAUCAUUAUGCGCAGCAGCGCUCAUUGGACUCCUUCCCUUUGUUGAUUGCCCGGUCUGCUUUCCCGUUUGUUCCCUGUGUCUGCAUUAAUGUCGUUAUGUGUUCUUGUCCAGACGCUGUCCUGUCCUGUUCCAUGUCCGUUGAUAAUUAAAUGUUCACUCCCUGUACCUGCUUCUCGUCUCUACCAGCGUCGACACAUAGAAUUCACACCACUAAAAUAAUCAUCAGGGAGUUUUGGUUGGUGACGUCGGGCCCGGGUGCUAUAGCCGAGGGAACCGGGGGUGCCUCAGCUAGCUCGUUCGGCUCCCACGCCUGAGCCGGUUCACCAGGCUCCCACGCCUGUGCCAGUUCGUCGGGCUUCUACGCCCCAGCCGGCUUGUCCUGUGCCCAUGCCUCGUCAGGCACUCCCAGGUGGGACGCCGGGUGGCGCCUCUAGAUGGGGGGGUACUGUCACGCCUGCUCCUGCUCUCCCCUUCUGGCGCUCGAGGCUGCCCUUCGUUACACACACCUGUCACCAUCAUUACGCGCAGCAACACAUAUUGGACUCACUUGGACUCCUUCCCUUUGUUGAUUGCCCGGUCUAUAACUGUCUGCUUCCCCGUUUGUUCCCUGUGUCUGCGUUAAUAUCGUUAUGUGUUCUUGUCCAGACACUGUCCUGUCCUGUUCCAUGUCUGUUAAUAAUUAUAUUUUCGCUCCCUGUACCUGCUUCUCAUCUCUACCAGCGUUGAUUCUUACAAUUGGACUCCUAAAUAACGUCCGGUUGUGAUACAGCCUGGAAUAAAACCAGGGUCUGUAGUGACGCCUCUAGCACUGAGAUGCGGUGCCUUAGACCACUGCAGUUAUUCUGCAAUUACUGCGUCCAAAAUACCACAGUUGACUGCAGUUACUGCAAUUUUACUGCAGUUUCAAAAACUGCAAUCUUUUUUUGUUAGGGGAAUUGUGUUGGUCAUUGUUAAUAUAUGCAGCAUUUAUUCAAAUUCAAAAUAGUAUUGUAAAUACUAACUCAUCAGAUUGUGCUGCUUUCCCCUCUUCUUGUAACAAUUGCUCAAUGAAUCUGUGGCCGUGGUUGAGUAUUUUUUUUUGGGGGGGGGGUGCCCUUUUUUUGGUAUGCCCCCCAAAAGUGUGCAUGGCCCUAAGAGAGAUGAAUAAUAAUGUCUUACAGAUCAACACACCACUGUUCCUUUAAGCAACCUUCAUAUCCAACCAAGCACACACACAGACAGUUAGACAGAUAGAAGCUCAGUCUUUAGCUGAUUGUCUGAAGUAGUGCCACCAUCCUUGCGGUUGUCCCUCCUCUUCACCUGCUCCAGGAAUGGCUCCAUGAACCUGGCCAGGGCUGAGCAGCAAUGACUCAGACCGUACGCAUUCUCCACUUUCUGUAGAGCAGCCAGAGCUUAUCCAGGGAAGUGAAGAUGGCUCCGGAGAAGAAGGCAGACAUUUUACGUGCCCCCAACCGAUUGUGUUUUUUGGUUCGUUUAUUUGCGUUUUUUGUAACUUAUUGUUUUAUUUAUUUUGUGUAUAAUGUUGCCGCUACCGUCUCUUAUGACCAAAAAUAACUUCUGGACAUCAGGACUGCGAUUACUCACCACGGACUGGCAGAAUCCUUUUUUUCCUUUAAGGAGUCUGACGAGGCCGACGCGUAUGACAGACGACAUACUGCUUUCUCGGGAACAGGCCCAGAUCCCCGUGAUUUCAGUGAAGAGGAGGCAGAGAAAAAGGGUCUGGAGGGCGGGCUGCCUUCUGAGAAUUCAUAGGCGAUCAAAUAAACCCCCACUUCUUUCCAUUCUGCUAGCAAACGUGCAAUCUUUGGACAAUAAAAUAGAUUACCUAAACGGAAGAGUAAACUACCAAUGGGACAUUCAAAUCUGUAAUAUCUUAUGCUUCACGAUGACACUAUCAACAUACAGCUGGCCGGUUAUACGCUGCACCGGCAGUGUCACGGUUGUCAUAAGAACGGGACCAAGGCGCAGCGGAUGUUGAGUUCCACAUAUUUAUUACAAAGUGAAACUUUAAGCAAAAGCAAAUAAAUCAAUAAACGAACAACGAAACGUCACUAUGUGGUGCACAUGCACAAACACAAAACAAUAUCCCACAAAGACAGGUGGGAAAAAUAGC
rnacentral:lncRNA from 1 species